CCCCUUUCUAAAAGCACUCAGAGGGCCUUUUGCUCGUGACCCUCUGAGCCGCCAAGAAAGGGAACAGUAAAAACACCACUUUUGGGUGAAGCGGCAGCAAGUUGUGCUGUUUAGCUUCAAUUGGUGGUGUGACAAGU
ensembl:snoRNA SNORA21 small nucleolar RNA, H/ACA box 21